rnacentral:rRNA from 1 species
GAUGAACGCUGGCGGCGUGCCUAAUACAUGCAAGUCGAGCGAACGGACGAGAAGCUUGCUUUUCUGAUGUUAGCGGCGGACGGGUGAGUAACACGUGGAUAACCUACCUAUAAGACUGGGAUAACUUCGGGAAACCGGAGCUAAUACCGGAUAAUAUUUUGAACCGCAUGGUUCAAAAGUGAAAGACGGUCUUGCUGUCACUUAUAGAUGGAUCCGCGCUGCAUUAGCUAGUUGGUAAGGUAACGGCUUACCAAGGCAACGAUGCAUAGCCGACCUGAGAGGGUGAUCGGCCACACUGGAACUGAGACACGGUCCAGACUCCUACGGGAGGCAGCAGUAGGGAAUCUUCCGCAAUGGGCGAAAGCCUGACGGAGCAACGCCGCGUGAGUGAUGAAGGUCUUCGGAUCGUAAAACUCUUUUAUUAGGGAAGAACAUAUGUGUAAGUAACUGUGCACAUCUUGACGGUACCUAAUCAGAAAGCCACGGCUAACUACGUG